rnacentral:rRNA from 1 species
UACGUAGGGGGCAAGCGUUGUCCGGAAUCAUUGGGCGUAAAGCGCGUGUAGGCGGUUCGGUAAGUCGGCUGUGAAAGUCCAGGGCUCAACCCUGGGAUGCCGGUCGAUACUGCCGGACUAGAGUUCGGAAGAGGCGAGUGGAAUUCCCGGUGUAGCGGUGAAAUGCGCAGAUAUCGGGAGGAACACCAAUGGCGAAGGCAGCUCGCUGGGACGACACUGACGCUGAGGCGCGAAAGCGUGGGGAGCGAACAGG